GAUGGGCCGAGGAGACAUUUUCUUCCUAUUAUGGUUAACGGAUUGGGGGAAACCAUUGCAAGUUUAUUGCAAAGCAGAGGUUUGAUAAAUAAGCAUCCAGAAUAAGAAUUGCUCUGAGGUACUACAGUUUGAGGGGAGGUUUGCUCUCUGAUCACAGCAUUUGAUUUCACAGAAGACAGGUGAGACGUAAAAGGAUGAUGGAACUCACACUGUGUUCUUCUGCUGCCCAAGACAACUCAGUAGACC